rnacentral:rRNA from 1 species
UACGUAGGGUGCAAGCGUUAAUCGGAAUUACUGGGCGUAAAGCGUGCGCAGGCGGCUUUGCAAGACAGAUGUGAAAUCCCCGGGCUCAACCUGGGAGCUGCAUUUGUGACUGCAGGGCUGGAGUACGGCAGAGGGGGAUGGAAUUCCGCGUGUAGCAGUGAAAUGCGUAGAUAUGCGGAGGAACACCGAUGGCGAAGGCAGUCCCCUGGGCCUGUACUGACGCUCAUGCACGAAAGCGUGGGGAGCAAACAGG